rnacentral:rRNA from 1 species
UACGGGGGGGGGCAAGCGUUGUUCGGAAUUACUGGGCGUAAAGGGCGCGUAGGCGGCCUACUAAGUCGGACGUGAAAUCCCUCGGCUCAACCGAGGAACUGCGUCCGAUACUGGCAGGCUGGAAUCCGGGAGAGGGAUGUGGAAUUCCAGGUGUAGCGGUGAAAUGCGUAGAUAUCUGGAGGAACACCGGUGGCGAAGGCGGCAUCCUGGACCGGUAUUGACGCUGAGGCGCGAAAGCUAGGGGAGCAAACGGG